rnacentral:lncRNA from 1 species
CAAGAGUUGGGCGAUUUUUUCAUAAAGUGGCGAUAUAGUGUGGGCCGAUUGGCCAUUGGGGCGAGUUGACAUUGUUUGAUAUCUACUCAUCGUGUUAGGGGGUCAUAAAGGGUAUACAUCAUAUAGUAAUAUAUAAAGUAUAUAAUAAUGGUUGUGUGGCGUUCUAAACUAGAUUUUAUGAAUUGUAAAUGGUUUUUCGUCUAAUCUAAAAGAGCUGGGAUGUAAAAU